AACGAACGCUGGCGGCAUGCCUAACACAUGCAAGUCGAACGAUCCCUUCGGGGAUAGUGGCGCACGGGUGCGUAACGCGUGGGAACCUGCCCUUAGGUUCGGAAUAACUCAGAGAAAUUUGAGCUAAUACCGGAUAAUGUCUUCGGACCAAAGAUUUAUCGCCUUUGGAUGGGCCCGCGUUGGAUUAGCUAGUUGGUGGGGUAAAGGCCUACCAAGGCGACGAUCCAUAGCUGGUCUGAGAGGAUGAUCAGCCACACUGGGACUGAGACACGGCCCAGACUCCUACGGGAGGCAGCAGUGGGGAAUAUUGGACAAUGGGCGAAAGCCUGAUCCAGCAAUGCCGCGUGAGUGAUGAAAGCCUUAGGGUUGUAAAGCUCUUUUACCCGGGAUGAUAAUGACAGUACCGGGAGAAUAAGCCCCGGCUAACUCCGUG
rnacentral:rRNA from 1 species